UUUGAGGGUUUUCUUGGAGUCUUAGUCUUCUCCCUUGGAAAGUCUCCAAAGUUUCCAUCUUUUUCCUUCUCUCCUCCAUUGAAACAUCACCCAACCAUUAAAGCUCUAGUCUUGUUGAAGGAGAAUCCAUUGUUGAAGGAUUUAGAUUUGUGAGUGCAUUGGAUUCUAUUUGUGGUGUGGACCCUUGUGAUACCGAGUUCGAGUCAGAGGAGCAUACGGGUACAGGAUCAGGUACCUCGGGGGUUAAUACCUCAGGCGGCAGGAGGUCGGAGCUGAGUUGAGAUUUAUGCUUUUAUGAUGAUAUGUCUGGAUGCUGACAUGUUUACAUUUCUUAUCAUGUUAUUGGACUUGAGACUCUA